UCCUCCCCAUAGCAACCAAGCUCAGCACCUCCGCCCAUCCCUCGCCAGCCACGCCGCCAUCAUCCAAGCCGUUAGUGGUAACAGGGAGAGGAGUAUGAGACCUGUUAGUCAGAGAGAAAUCCACAGCCAUUCAUUUCUGCCGGAAGGAACAGACCAGAAAGGCUGAGAGAAAGGCCCUCUUACAAACUUCCUGAUGCCCUCUCUCCUCGGGCUUCUCUGCGCUGUGGUGUUUCUGGCCUGGACAGCCUGGGGACAUCUGCUUGCCAAAAGGAGGGACCAGCCCCCAGGAAGCCCAGAGCUCGGCAGGGCUGGGUAGAAGGGUCUGUGUGCAGAACACCCGAGAUCAGAGAAUGGGCGUACCACCGAGUCCCCCGAGGCCCGCCCUCAGCGUGUCUUAUUCCAUUUUGAAGUCCCUGCCAUGCGGCAACACCUCGGUCACCUCACCACGGGCAUCAAGGGAAGUAGAAGGGUCCCGUUCCGCCAGCAGGGAGCGGCAGAGUUGGGCUGCUGCCCUUGAAAAUGAACAUCUCUUCCAUCACCAACUCCCGGGUCUCUGGCUGCUCCCACCACUGACUCAGUCAAGCCAUACCUUUCUCAUCCUCCAACGUCCCAGUGGGGGUCAGCCUGACUAGGAAGUCACUUCCUCCCUCGUGCCAGAGCUGGCCUCUCUUGACUGCCUAUUGUCUAAUUCUUCCUGGACACAGCUUCUCUCUGAUGACUACAAAGUUGUAAAUGUCUGAGGUGUGGUUGCAUAGCACCUGUAUUUCCCAAGAUGGCUACACAAAUAAAAGAACCAUGGUGGGAUCCAUGGUCUAGCAGGAAACAAGGUUCAUCUCCUUCUGGAAAACAUGGUUCCUUCCUGUGCUGAAUAGCACAGGGGCUAGCCAGGC
rnacentral:lncRNA from 1 species